GAUGAACGCUGGCGGCGUGCCUAAUACAUGCAAGUCGAGCGAACAGACGAGGACCUUGCUCCUCUGACGUUAUCGGCGGACGGGUGAGUAACACGGGUAUAACCUAACUAUAAGACUGGGAUAACUUCGGGAAACCGUGUCUAAUACCGGAUAAUAUAUUGAACCGCAUUGUUCAAUAGUUAAAUACGGUUUUGCUGUCACUUAUAGAUGGAUCCGCCGCGCAUUAGCUAGUUGGUACGGUAACGGAUUACCAAGACUGCGAUGUGUACCCGACCUGAGAGGGCGAUCGGCAACAAGGGAAAUGAGACACGGGCCCGACUUGUAAGGGAGGCAGCAGUAGGGAAUCUACGGGAAGGGGCGAAAGCCUAAAGUGGAAAAGCCGCGAGAGCGAUGACGGGCUACGCCUCGUAAAACUUUGUUAUUAGGGAAUAAUAAAUGUGUAUGUCCCGAUGUAAGUAUGGCAGGUACCGAAUAAUAAAGUCCGGGUAACUCCCGU
rnacentral:rRNA from 1 species